GUCGAACGAUGAAGCUGAGCUUGCUUGGUGGAUUAGUGGCGAACGGGUGAGUAACACGUGAGCAACCUGCCCUGGACUCUGGGAUAAGCGCUGGAAACGGUGUCUAAUACUGGAUAUGAGCCGCGGCCGCAUGGUCUGUGGUUGGAAAGAUUUUUUGGUUCAGGAUGGGCUCGCGGCCUAUCAGCUUGUUGGUGAGGUAAUGGCUUACCAAGGCGUCGACGGGUAGCCGGCCUGAGAGGGUGACCGGCCACACUGGGACUGAGACACGGCCCAGACUCCUACGGGAGGCAGCAGUGGGGAAUAUUGCACAAUGGGCGGAAGCCUGAUGCAGCAACGCCGCGUGAGGGAUGACGGCCUUCGGGUUGUAAACCUCUUUUAGCAAGGAAGAAGCGGAAGUGACGGUACUUGCAGAAAAAGCGCCGGCUAACUACGUGCCAGCAGCCGCGGUAAUACGUAGGGCGCAAGCGUUAUCCGGAAUUAUUGGGCGUAAAGAGCUCGUAGGCGGUUUGUCGCGUCUGCUGUGAAAUCCCGAGGCUCAACCUCGGGUCUGCAGUGGGUACGGGCAGACUAGAGUGCGGUAGGGGAGAUUGGAAUUCCUGGUGUAGCGGUGGAAUGCGCAGAUAUCAGGAGGAACACCGAUGGCGAAGGCAGAUCUCUGGGCCGUAACUGACGCUGAGGAGCGAAAGGGUGGGGAGCAAACAGGCUUAGAUACCCUGGUAGUCCACCCCGUAAACGUUGGGAACUAGUUG
rnacentral:rRNA from 1 species